rnacentral:lncRNA from 10 species
CAGAAGCAAGAGCAAGGUUGGUGGGGGCCAGGUGGAGUCAUGGGUAUCAGACCUGCAAAAAACCUGGGAAAAUGUCUCAAAAGGCCAGUCUACAAUAGUGAUGUUAUCUGUAGGACAGAUCUUGUGACCAGUCUAUGCCUUAGCAGAAUUCCUGCCCUUCUCCUAGCCUGAUGGCCUUUCAUUAGCUUUACAAAGAUUUUUUCUCAGCCUUGGUGUGAAGCCUCCAACUGAGUUGGAAGAUCCAAACUGGGACAGGGAAUUUAAAGAGGGGACCACAAAAUCGAUUCCAACAGAACUUUAAGUUUACCCCAGGUUAGCUUCAUCUGUUGCACACAGAGGCA